GUCCCUGGGGCACAAUGCAUAGCGCGUUGGACUUCUAAUCCAAAGAUUGUGGGUUCAAAUCCCAGCUGGGAUG